AUACGGAGGGUGCAAGCGUUACUCGGAAUCACUGGGCGUAAAGCGCGCGCAGGCGGCUAUUUAAGUUGGAUGUGAAAGCCUAUGGCUCAACCAUAGAACUGCAUCCAAAACUAUUUAGCUAGAGUGUGGGAGAGGAAGAUGGAAUUAGUUGUGUAGGGGUAAAAUCCGUAGAGAUAACUAGGAAUACCAAAAGCGAAGGCAAUCUUCUGGAACACUACUGACGCUGAGGCGCGAAAGCGCGGGGAGCAAACAGGAUUAGAAACCCUAGUAGUCC
rnacentral:rRNA from 1 species